GCUCCACCAUCCGCCUACCCUCCCACUCGUCUCGGUGGUGGCUCAGCUCCACCUCAGAGCCGAGCUCUUCCUGCCGCGGGUCAGGCGGUGUCUGUGGUGGUGGUUGCUGAGCAGUCUUAAGGGUGAGGCCCGAGGUGGCCGCCAGCAGGGCGACGCCGGGAAGAGCAGAACCUAUUGGCCCCGCGUGGGUUUAGGCCCAGAAGGCUGACCCGGCCCGUGCCCCGAAGGAGCAGCUUACCGUUCUCAGUGAGGACCCGAGCCAGCAACAGCAAGGACUGAGGCAGUUCAUCAAGGCUGCGAGGCUCUCUUCUCCGCAAGAGGACAAACCGAAGAGAUGCAGGCCACGCCCAUGAUGUGUGAUGUCAUGGGAGCCUCCAUCUUGCUGGCGGACCGCUCCGGGGUUCUUUGCUGGCUUAGUGAAGCAGGUGGCCACAUUGAGAAAGACCGUGUGCCCAGGAACUGGGGGCAGCCUUGAGGAGCUGCAGGUGGCCUCCAGGAGCAGAGAGUGACCUCCAGUCAGUAACCAGCAAGAAGCUGGGGCCCUCAGUCCGCCAACUGCGUGCAAAUAAUUCUGCCAACAGUCUCUGUCCAUGAGCCUAGGAGUGGACUCAUCCAUUCAAACCACAGUUGGGGGACACCUUGAUGUUGAGACCCUAAGCAGAGGACACAGAUGUGUGCUAUGCAGAGAAGGAGCCAGCUGCUGCCAUUCACAACACUGCUUCAGAUGGCUGUCUGGAGGGGUCAUGGAAUGCCAACAGUAAGGCGGACCUCUGGAUGAGUAGGCACUGAGAAAACCAUAAGCAAUCAGCCUAGGAAAAUGCACUGCUUCUGUCACGAAAACGGAAUUCCAGUAUUCUCUAGACAGUCGUGUUUUAAAUGAAGAAACUAAAAAUGUACUCUAUUUGAGCGGUAUCUUUGGUUGCAUUCCAAGCACCAGGAAAGCCACAAUCAAACCAUAUUUACUCAACUAGAAUUCUCAGAAAGAUGAAAAAUAUCAAAAGGAAGGAAGAGAGAAGGUAAUUAAAUUCUGGACUAUUUCUUUGAAGAAAGACCUGCUAUGUACCUAAAUUCCUGC